UGGGGAAUCUUGCACAAUGGGCGAAAGCCUGAUGCAGCAACGCCGCGUGCGGGAAGAAGGCCCUCGGGUUGUAAACCGCUUUCAGAAGGAACGAAACUGACGGUACUUUCAGAAGAAGGUGCGGCCAACUACGUGCCAGCAGCCGCGGUGACACGUAGGCACCAAGCGUUGUCCGGAUUUAUUGGGCGUAAAGGGCGCGUAGGCGGUUUGUCAAGUCAGUUGUGAAAUCUCCGAGCUUAACUCGGAACGGUCAACUGAUACUGUCAAACUAGAGUACAGAAGGGGCAAUCGGAAUUCUUGGUGUAGCGGUGAAAUGCGUAGAUAUCAAGAGGAACACCUGAGGCGAAGGCGGGUUGCUGGGCUGAUACUGACGCUGAGACGCGAAAGCGUGGGGAGCAAACAGGAUUAGAUACCCUCGUAGUCCCUGAGCGGGCUGGCAAGGCGCAU
rnacentral:rRNA from 1 species